UGAGGCCAGCCCCACAGUGGACUCCUUCCGGCCCGGCUUUGAUGUGGCCCUCCCUUUUCUCCCUGAAGCCCACCCGUUGCGAGGUGGGGCUCCUGGCCAGCUGCGGCAACACAGCCCCCAGCCCGGGGUAGCCCUGCUGGCCCUGGAAGAGGAGAGGGGUGGGUGGCGCACAGCAGACACCGGCUCCUCUGCCUGCCCCUGGGAUGGGCGCUGUGAACAGGACCCUGGACCUGGGCAGACCCAGCACCAGGAGACGUUGCCCAAUGCCACCUUCUGCCUCAUCUCUGGCCACCGUCCCGAGGCUGCCUCGCGCUUCCUCCAAGCCCUGCAGGUCCUGGCUGCCCUCCAGGAGAUGUCCCCUGCACGGGUCCUCGCCCUGCGUCAGCAGACCCAGUUUCUAUGGGAUGCCUACUUCUCCUCAGUGGAGAAGGUCAUCCAUACCACUCUGGAGGUUAUUCAGGACCGGAUCUUUGGAACAUCAGCUCACCCCUCACUGCUGUGGAACAGCCCCCCAGGGGCACUCCUGGCCCUGUCUACUUUUUCUACAAGCCCCCAGGACUUCCCCUUCUACCACCUGCAACAGGGUAUGCCCUGGGGAUGGGACAACCUGAAGUCCCCUCAGCUCUACCCAGGGCUGCCCCAGCCUCAUCUGGAGAGCCCCACCAAGACCCUUCCCAAGCCCCGACAUUUCUCCUGGCCCCUGGGAUUCCCUACUCAGGUCACUCUUCAUGGGGUUCUGUUCCCUCCCACUCUAAUAGCCUGUGUCUCAUUCCCCCAGGCUCCCGCCCUGAGGGCAGAUUCAGCGCCCUGAUCUGGGUGGCGCCCCCAGGCCAGCCCCCUCUGAAGCUCAUCCAGGCGGUGGCAGGCUCCCAGC
rnacentral:sRNA from 1 species